UACGUAGGGGGCAAGCGUUAUCCGGAAUUAUUGGGCGUAAAGAGUACGUAGGUGGCAACCUAAGCGCAGGGUUUAAGGCAAUGGCUCAACCAUUGUUCGCCCUGCGAACUGGGAUGCUUGAGUGCAGGAGAGGAAAGCGGAAUUCCUAGUGUAGCGGUGAAAUGCGUAGAUAUUAGGAGGAACACCGGUGGCGAAGGCGGCUUUCUGGACUGUAACUGACACUGAGGUACGAAAGCGUGGGGAGCAAACAGG
rnacentral:rRNA from 1 species